rnacentral:rRNA from 1 species
UAGGGAAUCUUCCGCAAUGGACGCAAGUCUGACGGAGCAACGCCGCGUGAGUGAAGAAGGAUUUCGGUUCGUAAAACUCUGUUGUUAGAGAAGAACAGCGCAUAGAGUAACUGUUAUGCGUGUGACGGUAUCUAACCAGAAAGCCACGGCUAACUACGUGCCAGCAGCCGCGGUAAUACGUAGGUGGCAAGCGUUGUCCGGAUUUAUUGGGCGUAAAGCGAGCGCAGGCGGUCAAUUAAGUCUGAUGUGAAAGCCCCCGGCUCAACCGGGGAGGGUCAUUGGAAACUGGUUGACUUGAGUGCAGAAGAGGAGAGUGGAAUUCCAUGUGUAGCGGUGAAAUGCGUAGAUAUAUGUAGUAACACCAGUGGCGAAGGCGACUCUCUGGUCUGUAACUGACGCUGAGGCUCGAAAGCGUGGGUAGCAAACAGG